rnacentral:rRNA from 1 species
UACAGAGGCCUCGAGCGUUAGGCGGAAUCACUGGGCUUAAAGCGUGUGUAGGCGGACUUCUAAGUACCUUGUGAAAUCUCCCGGCUUAACUGGGAGGGUGCGCUAUAGACUGUGGGACUAGAGUGUGGGAGAGGAAAGUGGAAUUCCUGGUGUAGCGGUGAAAUGCGUAGAUAUCAGGAGGAACACCGGUGGUGUAAACGGCUUUCUGGACCAUAACUGACGCUGAGGCACGAAAGCGUGGGGAGCGAACAGG